ACGCUCGACACCUACGGAGGCAGCAGUGGGGAAUAUUGCACAAUGGGGGAAACCCUGAUGCAGCGACGCCGCGUGGAGGAAGAAGGUCUUCGGAUUGUAAACUCCUGUUGUUGGGGAAAAAGAGGAUGGUACCCAACAAGGAAGUGACGGCUAACUACGUGCAGCAGCCGCGGUAAUCUGAGGCGGGCGUGGCAAGGC
rnacentral:rRNA from 1 species